rnacentral:rRNA from 1 species
GAGUNCAGAAGGGGAGAGUGGAAUNCCAUGUGUAGCGGUGAAAUGCGUAGAUAUAUGGAGGAACACCAGUGGCGAAAGCGGCUCUCUGGUCUGUCACUGACGCUGAGGCUCGAAAGCGUGGGUAGCGANCAGGAUUAGAUACCCUGGUAGUCCACGCCGUAAACGAUGAGUGCUAGGUGUUAGGCCCUUUCCGGGGCUUAGUGCCGGAGCUAACGCAAUAAGCACUCCGCCUGGGGAGUACGACCGCAAGGUUGAAACUCAAAGGAAUUGACGGGGGCCCGCACAAGCGGUGGAGCAUGUGGUUUAAUUCGAAGCAACGCGAAGAACCUUACCAGGUCUUGACAUCCCGAUGCUAUUCUUAGAGAUAGGAAGUUACUUCGGUACAUCGGAGACAGGUGGUGCAUGGUUGUCGUCAGCUCGUGUCGUGAGAUGUUGGGUUAAGUCCCGCAACGAGCGCAACCCUUAUUGUUAGUUGCCAUCAUUAAGUUGGGCACUCUAGCGAGACUGCCGGUAAUAAACCGGAGGAAGGUGGGGAUGACGUCAAAUCAUCAUGCCCCUUAUGACCUGGGCUACACACGUGCUACAAUGGUCGGUACAACGAGUUGCGAGCCGGUGACGGCAAGCUAAUCUCUGAAAGCCGAUCUCAGUUCGGAUUGGAGGCUGCAACUCGCCUCCAUGAAGUCGGAAUCGCUAGUAAUCGCGGAUCAGCACGCCGCGGUGAAUACGUUCCCGGGCCUUGUACACACCGCCCGUCACACCACGAGAGUUUGUAACACCCGAAGUCGGUGAGGUAACCUUUUAGGGGCCAGCCG